rnacentral:rRNA from 1 species
UACGUAGGGUGCAAGCGUUAAUCGGAAUUACUGGGCGUAAAGCGUGCGCAGGCGGUGAUGUAAGACAGAUGUGAAAUCCCCGGGCUCAACCUGGGAAUUGCAUUGGAGACUGCAAGGCUAGAAUCUGGCAGAGGGGGGUAGAAUUCCACGUGUAGCAGUGAAAUGCGUAGAGAUGUGGAGGAACACCGAUGGCGAAGGCAGCCCCCUGGGUCAAGAUUGACGCUCAUGCACGAAAGCGUGGGGAGCAAACAGG